rnacentral:rRNA from 1 species
UACAGAGGUGGCGAGCGUUGUUCGGAUUUACUGGGCGUAAAGGGUACGUAGGCGGUUUUGUGUGUCAGAUGUGAAAUCCAACCUUUCAUGGGUUGAACUGCAUUUGAAACUGCAAGACUAGAGUAUGGAAGAGGAGAGUGGAAUUUCCUGUGUAGCGGUGAAAUGCGUAGAUAUAGGAAGGAACACCAGUGGCGAAGGCGACUUACUGGACCAAUACUGACACUGAGGUGCGAAAGCGUGGGGAGCAAACGGG